GUGCCAGCAGCUGCGGUAAUACGUAGGGUGCAAGCGUUGUCCGGAAUUAUUGGGCGUAAAGAGCUCGUAGGCGGCCUGUCGCGUCGGAUGUGAAAGCCCGGGGCUUAACCCCGGGUCUGCAUUCGAUACGGGCAGGCUGGAGUUCGGCAGGGGAGAUCGGAAUUCCUGGUGUAGCGGUGAGAUGCGCAGAUAUCAGGAGGAACACCGGUGG
rnacentral:rRNA from 1 species